rnacentral:rRNA from 1 species
GAUGAACGCUGGCGGCGUGCCUAAUACAUGCAAGUCGAGCGAACGGACGAGAAGCUUGCUUCUCUGAUGUUAGCGGCGGACGGGUGAGUAACACGUGGAUAACCUACCUAUAAGACUGGGAUAACUUCGGGAAACCGGAGCUAAUACCGGAUAAUAUUUUGAACCGCAUGGUUCAAAAGUGAAGGACGGUCUUGCUGUCACUUAUAGAUGGAUCCGCGCUGCAUUAGCUAGUUGGUAAGGUAACGGCUUUCCAAGGCAACGAUGCAUAGCCGACCUGAGAGGGUGAUCGGCCACACUGGAACUGAGACACGGUCCAGACUCCUACGGGAGGCAGCAGUAGGGAAUCUUCCGCAAUGGGCGAAAGCCUGACGGAGCAACGCCGCGUGAGUGAUGAAGGUCUUCGGAUCGUAAAACUCUGUUAUUAGGGAAGAACAUAUGUGUAAGUAACUGUGCACAUCUUGACGGUACCUAAUCAGAAAGCCACGGCUAACUACGUG